UACGAAGGAUGCAAGCGUUAUCCGGAUUCACUGGGUUUAAAGGGCGCGCAGGCGGCUCGGAAAGUCGGAUGUGAAAACUCGGGGCUCAACCCCGAGCGUGCACCCGAUACUGCCGGGCUUGAGGCAGGUAGGGGAGAUCGGAAUUCCUGGUGUAGCGGUGAAAUGCGCAGAUAUCAGGAGGAACACCGAUGGCGAAGGCAGCUCGCUGGGACGGUACUGACGCUGAGGCGCGAAAGCGUGGGGAGCAAACAGG
rnacentral:rRNA from 1 species